rnacentral:tRNA from 1 species
AGCCCCGUAGAAUAGUGGUCAAGUUCGCGGCCCUUUGGAGGCCGAAACCCAGGUUCAAAUCCUGGCGGGGCUA